UACAGGGGGUGCAAACGUUGCUCGGAAUCAUUGGGCGUAAGGCGCACGUAGGCGGUUCGUUAUGUCGGAUGUGAAAGCCCUUGGCUUAACCGAGGAAGUGCAUCCGAAACUGGCGAGCUAGAGUACGAAAGAGGAUCGCGGAAUUCCCGGUGUAGAGGUGAAAUUCGUAGAUAUCGGGAGGAACACCGGUGGCGAAGGCGGCGAUCUGGGUCGAUACUGACGCUGAGGUGCGAAAGCGUGGGGAGCAAACAGG
rnacentral:rRNA from 1 species